CAAUAGCGUAUAUUAAAGUUGUUGCAGUUAAAAAGCUCGUAGUUGGAUUUGUGGCGUACGGUGUGUUCCGGGCACUUGUUGUCUGAGUAACCUGCUGUUGCCAUCCUUGGGUGGAUCCUGUGUGGCAUUAGGUUGUCGUGCAGGGGAUGCCCAUCAUUUACUGUGAAAAAAUUAGAGUGUUCAAAGCAGGCUUAUGCCGUUGAAUAUAUUAGCAUGGAAUAAUGAGAUAGGACUUUUUUGCUAUUUUGUUGGUUUGCGCAAAGAGGUAAUGAUUAAUAGGGACAGUUGGGGGUAUUCGUAUUCCAUUGUCAGAGGUGAAAUUCUUGGAUUUUUGGAAGACGAACUACUGCGAAAGCAUUUACCAAGGAUGUUUUCAUUAA
rnacentral:rRNA from 1 species